GACGAACGCUGGCGGCGUGCUUAACACAUGCAAGUCGAACGGAAAGGCCCUGCUUUUGUGGGUUGCUCGAGUGGCGAACGGGUGAGUAACACGUGAGUAACCUGCCCUUGACUUUGGGAUAACUUCAGGAAACUGGGGCUCAUACCGGAUAGGAGCUCCUGCUGCAUGGUGGGGGUUGGAAAGUUUCGGCGGUUGGGGAUGGACUCGCGGCUUAUCAGCUUGUUGGUGGGGUAGUGGCUUACCAAGGCUUUGACGGGUAGCCGGCCUGGGAGGGGAACCAGCGACAUUGGGACUAAGAUAGGGCCCAGACUCCAACGGGAGGCAGCAGUGGGGAAUAUUGCACAGUGGGCGGAAGCCUGAUGCAGCAACGCCGCGUGCGGGAUGACGGCCUUCGGGUUGUAAACCGCUUUCGCCUGUGACGAAGCGUGAGUGACGGUAAUGGGUAAAAAAGCACCGGCUAACUACGUG
rnacentral:rRNA from 1 species